rnacentral:rRNA from 1 species
GACUUCAAGUACCGUUGUCGCUUCGGUGAUGACGGCUGUUUUUAUGCCUAAAAAGCAUUUAGAGUAAGGGCUGGGUAAGACCGGUGCCAGCCGCCGCGGUAAUACCGGCAGCCCAAGUGGUGACCACUAUUAUUGGGUCUAAAACGUCCGUAGCCGGCCUGGUAAAUCCUUCGGUAAAUCGAACGGCUUAACCGUUCGGCCUCGUGGGAGACUGCUAGGCUUGGGACCGGGAGAGGUUAGAGGUACUCCUGGGGUAGGGGUGAAAUCCUGUAAUCCUAGGGGGACCACCAGUGGCGAAGGCGUCUAACUUGAACGGGUUCGACGGUAAGGGACGAAAGCCAGGGGGCGCGAACGGGAUUAGAUACCCCGGUAGUCCUGGCCGUAAACGCUGCGGGCUUGGUGUUGGGGGUCCUACGAGGGCGCCCAGUGCCGGAGCGAAGGUGUUAAGCCCGCUACCUGGGGAGUACGACCGCAAGGUUGAAACUUAAAGGAAUUGGCGGGGGAAGCACCGCAACGGGAGGAGCGUGCGGUUCAAUUGGAUUCAACGCCGGA